rnacentral:rRNA from 1 species
AUUGAACGCUGGCGGCAGGCCUAACACAUGCAAGUCGAGCGGAUGAAGGGAGCUUGCUCCUGGAUUCAGCGGCGGACGGGCGAGUAAUGCCUAGGAAUCUGCCUGGUAGUGGGGGAUAACGUCCGGAAACGGGCGCUAAUACCGCAUACGUCCUGAGGGAGAAAGUGGGGGAUCUUCGGACCUCACGCUAUCAGAUGAGCCUAGGUCGGAUUAGCUAGUUGGUGGGGUAAAGGCCUACCAAGGCGACGAUCCGUAACUGGUCUGAGAGGAUGAUCAGUCACACUGGAACUGAGACACGGUCCAGACUCCUACGGGUGGCAGCAGUGGGGAAUAUUGGACAAUGGGCGAAAGCCUGAUCCAGCCAUGCCGCGUGUGUGAAGAAGGUCUUCGGAUUGUAAAGCACUUUAAGUUGGGAGGAAGGGCAGUAAGUUAAUACCUUGCUGUUUUGACGUUACCAACAGAAUAAGCACCGGCUAACUUCGUG